CCCUCGUCUUCGGGAUAACUACUGGAAACGGUGGCUAAUACCGAAUAUUCACUUCCUGUCGCAUGGUGGGUGGUGGGAAGUUUUUCGGACGAGGAUGGGCUCGCGGCCUAUCAGCUUGUUGGUGGGGUGAUGGCCUACCAAGGCGACGACGGGUAGCCGGCCUGAGAGGGUGACCGGCCACACUGGGACUGAGAUACGGCCCAGACACAUACGGGAGGCAGCAGUGGGGAAUAUUGCACAAUGGGCGAAAGCUGAUGCAGCGACGCCGCGUGAGGGAUGACGGCCUUCGGGUUGUAAACCUCUUUCAGCAGGGAAGAAGCGAAAGUGACGGUACCUGCAGAAGAAGCGCCGGCUAACUACGUGCCAGCAGCCGCGGUAAUACGUAGGGCGCAAGCGUUGUCCGGAAUUAUUGGGCGUAAAGAGCUCGUAGGCGGUUAGUCGCGUCUGCUGUGAAAACUCGAGGCUCAACCUCGGGCUUGCAGUGGGUACGGGCUGACUAGAGUGCGGUAGGGGUGACUGGAAUUCCUGGUGUAGCGGUGGAAUGCGCAGAUAUCAGGAGGAACACCGAUGGCGAAGGCAGGUCAUUGGGCCGCAACUGACGCUGAGGAGCGAAAGCAUGGGGAGCGAACAGGAUUAGAUACCCUGGUAGUCCAUGCCGUAAACGUUGGGCACUAGGUUGUGGGGUCAUUCCACGGAUUCCGUGCCGCAGCAAAGCGAUUAAGUGCCCCGCCUGGGGAGUACGGCGCAAGGCUAAAACUCAAGGAAAUUGACGGGGGCCGCACAAGCGGCGGAGCAUGCGGAUUAAUUCGAUGCAACGCGAAGAACCUUACCAAGGCUUGACAUGCACCGGAAACUUCCAGAGAUGGUUGCCCCGCAAGGAUGGUGCACAGGUGGUGCAUGGUUGUCGUCAGCUCGUGUCGUGAGAUGUUGGGUUAAGUCCCGCAACGAGCGCAACCCUCGUCCCAUGUUGCCAGCGGGUUAUGCCGGGGACUCAUGGGAGACUGCCGGGGUCAACUCGGAGGAAGGUGGGGAUGACGUCAAAUCAUCAUGCCCCUUAUGUCUUGGGCUUCACGCAUGCUACAAUGGCCGGUACAAAGGGUUGCGAUACCGCGAGGUGGAGCGAAUCCCAAAAAGCCGGUCUCAGUUCGGAUUGGGGUCUGCAACUCGACCCCAUGAAGUCGGAGUCGCUAGUAAUCGCAGAUCAGCAACGCUGCGGUGAAUACGUUCCCGGGCCUUGUACA
rnacentral:rRNA from 1 species